CAGCCGCCGCGGUAAGACAGAGGAUGCAAGCGUUAUCCGGAAUGAUUGGGCGUAAAGCGUCUGUAGGUGGCUUUUCAAGUCCGCCGUCAAAUCCCAGGGCUCAGCUCUGGACAGGCGGUGGAAACUACCAAGCUGGAGUACGGCAGAGGCAGAGGGAAUUUCCGGUGGAGCGGUGAAAUGCGUUGAGAUCGGGAAGAACACCAACGGCGAAAGCACUCUGCUGGGCCGACACUGACACUGAGAGACGAAAGCUAGGGGAGCAAAUGGGAUUAGAUACCCCCGUAGUCCCUGUCUCUUAUAC
rnacentral:rRNA from 1 species